rnacentral:rRNA from 1 species
GCACAAGCGCGGAGCAUGCGGAUUAAUUCGAUGCAACGCGAAGAACCUUUACCAAGGCUUGACAUACAGGGAAAUCUCGCAGAGAUGUGAGGUCCGCAAGGGUCCUGUACAGGUGGUGCAUGGUUGUCGUCAGCUCGUGUCGUGAGAUGUUGGGUUAAGUCCCGCAACGAGCGCAACCCUCGUCCUAUGUUGCCAGCGGGUCGUGCCGGGGACUCAUAGGAGACUGCCGGGGUCAACUCGGAGGAAGGUGGGAUGACGUCAAAUCAUCCAUCGCCCUUAUGUCUUGGGCUUCACGCAUGCUACAAUGGCCAGUACAAAGGGCUGCGAGACCGUGAGGUGGAGCGAAUCCCAAAAAGCUGGUCUCAGUUCGGAUUGGAGUCUGCAACUCGACCCCAUGAAGUCGGAGUCGCUAGUAAUCGCAGAUCAGCAACGCUGCGGUGAAUACGUUCCCGGGCCUU